UACGUAGGGUGCUAGCGUUCUUCGGAAUUACUGGGCGUAAAGCGUAUGUAGGCGGCCAUUUAAGUCAGAUGUGAAAGCCCUGGGCUCAACCUGGGACGUGCAUCUGAUACUAUUUGGCUUGAGUACAGGAGAGGGUAGUGGAAUUUCAGGUGUAGUGGUGAAAUACGUAGAUAUCUGAAGGAACAUCGGUGGCUAAGGCGGCUGCCUGGCCUUGUACUGACGCUGAGAUACGAAAGCGUGGGGAGCAAACAGG
rnacentral:rRNA from 1 species